AGUGAACGCUGGCGGCGUGCUUAACACAUGCAAGUCGAACGAGAACGGGUUAUAGCUUGCUAUAAUUGUCAGCUAAGUGGCGCACGGGUGAGUAAUGUAUAGGUAAUAUGCCUCUUACUAAGGGAUAACAAAUGGAAACGUUUGCUAAUACCUUAUACUCCUUAUUAACAGAAGUUAAUAAGGGAAAGAUUUAUUGGUAAGAGAUUAGCCUGUAUUGUAUCAGUUAGUUGGUGAGGUAAUGGCUUACCAAGACUAUGACACAUAACUGGUUUGAGAGGAUGAUCAGUCACACUGGAACUGAGACACGGUCCAGACUCCUACGGGAGGCAGCAGUGGGGAAUAUUGCACAAUGGACGAAAGUUUGACGCAGCAGCGCCGCGUGGAGGAUGACACAUUUCGGUGCGUAAACUCCUUUUAUAUGAGAAGAUAAUGACGGUAUUAUAUGAAUAAGCACCGGCUAACUCCGUGCCAGCCGCCGCGGUAA
rnacentral:rRNA from 1 species